GUGGGGAAUAUUGGACAAUGGGGGCAACCCUGAUCCAGCCAUGCCGCGUGAAUGAUGAAGGCCUUCGGGUUGUAAAGUUCUUUUGGAGGGGACGAUGAUGACGGUACCCUCAGAAUAAGCUCCGGCUAACUUCGUGCCAGCAGCCGCGGUAAUACGAAGGGAGCUAGCGUUGUUCGGAAUUACUGGGCGUAAAGGGCGCGUAGGCGGUUUGGUUAGUCAGAUGUGAAAGCCCAGGGCUUAACCCUGGAACUGCGUUUGAUACUGCCAAGCUUGAAUUCGGGAGAGGUGAGUGGAAUUCCCAGUGUAGAGGUGAAAUUCGUAGAUAUUGGGAAGAACACCGGUGGCGAAGGCGGCUCACUGGACCGACAUUGACGCUGAGGCGCGAAAGCGUGGGGAGCAAACAGGAUUAGAAACCCCAGUAGUCC
rnacentral:rRNA from 1 species